UGAGGAAUAUUGGACAAUGGGCGCAAGCCUGAUCCAGCCAUGCCGCGUGCAGGAAGAAGCAUCUAUGGUGUGUAAACUGCUUUUGUACGGGAAGAAACACUCCUACGUGUAGGAGCUUGACGGUACCGUAAGAAUAAGGAUCGGCUAACUCCGUGCCAGCAGCCGCGGUAAUACGGAGGAUCCAAGCGUUAUCCGGAAUCAUUGGGUUUAAAGGGUCCGUAGGCGGUUUAAUAAGUCAGUGGUGAAAGCCCAUCGCUCAACGAUGGAACGGCCAUUGAUACUGCUAGACUUGAAUUACAAGGAAGUAACUAGAAUAUGUAGUGUAGCGGUGAAAUGCUUAGAUAUUACAUGGAAUACCAAUUGCGAAGGCAGGUUACUACUUGUGGAUUGACGCUGAUUGACGAAAGCGUGGGGAGCGAACA
rnacentral:rRNA from 1 species